AGCUGNNCCAGCCAUGCCGCGUGUGUGAAGAAGGUCUUCGGAUUGUAAAGCACUUUAAGUUGGGAGGAAGGGCAGUAAGUUAAUACCUUGCUGUUUUGACGUUACCGACAGAAUAAGCACCGGCUAACUCUGUGCCAGCAGCCGCGGUAAUACAGAGGGUGCAAGCGUUAAUCGGAAUUACUGGGCGUAAAGCGCGCGUAGGUGGUUCGUUAAGUUGGAUGUGAAAGCCCCGGGCUCAACCUGGGAACUGCAUCCAAAACUGGCGAGCUAGAGUAUGGUAGAGGGUGGUGGAAUUUCCUGUGUAGCGGUGAAAUGCGUAGAUAUAGGAAGGAACACCAGUGGCGAAGGCGACCACCUGGACUGAUACUGACACUGAGGUGCGAAAGCGUGGGGAGCAAACAGGAUUAGAAACCCUUGUAGUCCAGACCAAGUCUNNGCCUACCGUAA
rnacentral:rRNA from 1 species